UAUAGUUGUUAAUAGAUAUAGGAAAAUGUGGUGUGAGUGCCAAUGAGACAACUUUCCAUCCAAAUAACAAUUUAAAAAUUAAACCAUUAUAGGUUAAAGUACGGCCUUCAACACGGAGCCUUGGCUCACACCGAACAACAAGCUAUAAAGGGCCCCAAAAUUACUAGUGUAAAACCAUUCAAACGGGGAAACCAACGGUCUAAUCUAUAUAAACAAAACGAGAAACACGUAUAUAUUACAUAAACAAACGACAACUACUGUACAUCAGAUUCCUGACUUAGGACAGGUGCAAACAUUUGCAGCGGGAUUAAACGUUUUAAUGGGCCCAAACCUUCUCCCUUUUUCUGAAACAAUAGCAUAACAUCACAACAUAUAAAAACAUACGAUAAAAUAUCAAUUAGCAGACUUAACUCAAUCAAAAAACGUAUGAUUACA
rnacentral:lncRNA from 1 species